rnacentral:rRNA from 1 species
GACGAACGCUGGCGGCGUGCUUAACACAUGCAAGUCGAACGGAAAGGCCCUGCUUUUGUGGGGUGCUCGAGUGGCGAACGGGUGAGUAACACGUGAGUAACCUGCCCUUGACUUUGGGAUAACUUCAGGAAACUGGGGCUAAUACCGGAUAGGAGCUCCUGCUGCAUGGUGGGGGUUGGAAAGUUUCGGCGGUUGGGGAUGGACUCGCGGCUUAUCAGCUUGUUGGUGGGGUAGUGGCUUACCAAGGCUUUGACGGGUAGCCGGCCUGAGAGGGUGACCGGCCACAUUGGGACUGAGAUACGGCCCAGACUCCUACGGGAGGCAGCAGGGGGGAAUAUUGCACAAUGGGCGGAAGCCGGAUGCAGCAACGCCGCGGGCGGGAGGACGGCCUUCGGGUUGGAAACCGCUUUCGCCUGUGACGAAGCGUGAGUGACGGUAAGGGGUAAAGAAGCACCGGCUAACUACGUGC